rnacentral:rRNA from 1 species
GUGCCAGCCGCGGCGGUAAUACGUAGGGUGCGAGCGUUGUCCGGAAUUACUGGGCGUAAAGAGCUCGUAGGUGGUUUGUCGCGUCGUCUGUGAAAUUCCGGGGCUUAACUCCGGGCGUGCAGGCGAUACGGGCAUAACUUGAGUGCUGUAGGGGAGACUGGAAUUCCUGGUGUAGCGGUGAAAUGCGCAGAUAUCAGGAGGAACACCGAUGGCGAAGGCAGGUCUCUGGGCAGUAACUGACGCUGAGGAGCGAAAGCAUGGGUAGCGAACAGGAUUAGAUACCCUGGUAGUCCAUGCCGUAAACGGUGGGCGCUAGGUGUGGGGGUCUUCCACGACUUCUGUGCCGUAGCUAACGCAUUAAGCGCCCCGCCUGGGGAGUACGGCCGCAAGGCUAAAACUCAAAGGAAUUGACGGGGGCCCGCACAAGCGGCGGAGCAUGUGGAUUAAUUCGAUGCAACGCGAAGAACCUUACCUGGGCUUGACAUACGCCGGAUCGCCGCAGAGAUGUGGUUUCCCUUGUGGCCGGUGUACG